AUGGUGGCAAAACACAGGAAGGGAAGACAACACAGCAUGCCACUUUUCAGUGGGAUGUUUAAUUGUAAGGCUCGCUGGGUUUGGAUCAACCUCAUGGUACUUUGCAGGUGGAAUUUGCACCAGCAGCUCCCCAGGGAUGAUUUUCAACACAUAUUGAAGGUCUCCAGUGGUUUUCACAGCGGAUUCAUUGCCCCAUCACAACUAAGCAAAGUAACAUUCAGCAUUUCUAUGUCAGUCAAAGGAUCCUUGUUGAAAAAUUUAGAUAUUAAUUCUUGCAAGCCAUGGGUAUCUCUUUCAGUGUUGAUAUAAUUAAAAGACAUAGUUGAUAAUUGUGGUUAAAAAUAUUUCAAGGAGACAUUAGUGUUUCAACAUAUGAUGUUUGUUUAUAGGUAAUAUUCUGAGUGAUAUCUUCAUGGCUCCCCUAAGAGUAAAAUAAAAACUGUUAAUCCCUGGAAAGAUGACUCUCU
rnacentral:lncRNA from 1 species